rnacentral:tRNA from 1 species
UUAAUUGAAGCCAAAAAGAGGCGUAUUACUGUUAAUAAUAUAAAUGAAUACAUAUAUUCCAAUUAAG